GGCCAAGGACGAGGACCGGAUAUCAAAUCAGCUUCUUCCUUUCCGACGAAGAUUUCUAUCACCGACCGUUAUUUCUCUGCUCAGUAUCCACCGUCGCCAUUUAAGUUUCUUCAGCAAGAAUGUACGCUAAGAUUGGAUCGCAAACUGUGGUACCUCAACCUCCAACAGGAUCAGAGCCUAAUCCUUUUGGGAAUGCAAUUCAUGUAACUAGUUCAGGUCUCAUUAGAGGUGGAUUGGGUGCAUACGGUGAAAAAAUACUGGGGUCAAGCUCUGAGUAUGUCCAGAGCAAUAUAAGUCGAUAUUUCUCUGAUCCCCAGUAUUAUUUUCAAGUGAAUGAUCAUUAUGUUAGGAACAAAUUGAAGGUUGUUUUGUUCCCAUUUCUGCAUCGGGGUCAGUGGACAAGAAUAACCGAGCCAGUGGGAGGGCGGCUCUCUCAUAAACCACCAUUUCAUGACAUAAAUGCGCCAGACCUGUACAUUCCAUUAAUGGCGUUUGGUACCUAUGUUGUUCUUGCUGGCCUUUCCUUAGGUCUUCGUGGAAAGUUUAGUCCAGAAGCUCUGAACUGGUUGUUCAUCAAGGGAUUGCUUGGUUGGUUUAUGCAAGCAAUACUGCUUAAGGUGACACUGUUUUCACUGGGUAGUGGGGAGGCUCCCCUGCUAGACAUUAUGGCAUACGCCGGCUAUACUUUUGCCGGCAUGUGUUUGGCUGUUCUCGGGAGAAUUGUGUCAGGUUACUCUUACUACUUUUUGAUGCCAUUUGCCUGUUUCAGCAUGGGAUUUUUCUUGGUUAAAACGCUGAAGAGGGUCCUUUUUGCUGAGGUGAGGACUUAUGAAUCAUCCAAACAUCACUAUCUCUUGCUCUUCAUUGCUCUGGCUCAGUUCCCGCUGUUCACCUGGCUUGGCAACAUUACCGUCAAUUGGCUUAUUUAGAUUGCAAUCUCUUCACAUGGUAUAUGGAAUCAAUUCUUCGCGGAAGCUUUAUAUCUUGUUAUAGGUUUUUUUUUGCUGGCGAAUAAGCUUUCAUUUGUUCGAAGCUCUGAAUUCCAUAUUUGGAGAGCACUGCUUCACCAAAUGAGCACUCUCAAGCAAGAGUGUCUUUUUUUGGUAUGAUUUCUGACCCUCUUACUUAUGGCCAUUCAAGAUAGUCGAUAGAGUUCGAUCAGUCUUCUUUCGGUGGCGUUUGUCCUCCGUGCGUUUUUAUUUUAAAAAGUAAUAAAAAAAAUAAUUAUUACUAAAUUAUCAUUGAUAUAUAAAAAGUAAUGCAUAUCUCUUUUUUUAUGCAAGAAAAACUGAGUAGGCCUUGUAGAACGGGAGCAAAAAGAUAUAUGAUACAUGUAUACAUAAUAUGAAGAUAGUGGUUCGCAAAAAAAAUGAAGAUAGUGAAUUAUAAAUUUGUAAUAAAAGAAGUGGUUUUAUGGAUUAGUGAUUAUUGUCUAUAUUGUAUUUAAAAA